UACGUAGGGGGCUAGCGUUGUCCGGAAUCAUUGGGCGUAAAGCGCGUGUAGGCGGUCCGGUAAGUCCGCUGUGAAAGUCGGGGGCUCAACCCUCGGAUGCCGGUGGAUACUGUCGGGCUUGAGUACGGAAGAGGCGAGUGGAAUUCCUGGUGUAGCGGUGAAAUGCGCAGAUAUCAGGAGGAACACCAAUUGCGAAGGCAGCUCGCUGGGACGACACUGACGCUGAGGAGCGAAAGCGUGGGGAGCGAACAGG
rnacentral:rRNA from 1 species